rnacentral:rRNA from 1 species
GACGAACGCUGGCGGCGUGCUUAACACAUGCAAGUCGAACGGAGUGGCGAACGGGUGAGUAACACGUGGGUGAUCUGCCUUGCACUUCGGGAUAAGCUUGGGAAACUGGGUCUAAUACCGGAUAGUGCAAGAUGAGCUCGCGGCCUAUCAGCUGGUUGGUGGUGUAAUGGACUACCAAGGCGUAGACGGGUAGCCGGCCUGAGAGGGUGUACGGCCACAUUGGGACUGAGAUACGGGCCAGACUCCGACGGGAGGCAGCAGUGGGGACUAUUGCACAAUGGGCGGAAGCCUGAUGCAGCGACGCCGCAGGGGGGAUGAAGGCCUUCGGGUUGUAAACUCCUUUCGACAGGGACGCGGUACCUGGAUAAGAAGCACCGGCUAACUACGUGCCAGCAGCCGCGGUAAGUC